rnacentral:rRNA from 1 species
UAGAGGAAGUAAAAGUCGUAACAAGGUUUCCGUAGGUGAACCUGCGGAAGGAUCAUUACCGAAGUCAUAGAGUUUGAGACUGCGUCUUCAAUGGCGUGUGCUCGGCUCUUACUCUUCCCUAUCCACACCUUUGUGCACCAUGGGAUGAAAUAAAAGUCCCCUUUUUUAUAUUAAUACCUAGUUAUAUGCAUGUCCUUAUAUACUCUAAGGAGUUAAUACAACUUUCAACAACGGAUCUCUUGGCUUUCGCAUCGAUGAAGAACGCAGCGAAUGUGCGAGACGUAAUGUGAAUUGCAGAAUUCAGUGAAUCAUCGAAUCUUUGAACGCAUCUUGCGCUCCUUGGCAUUCCGAGGAGCAUGCCUGUUUGAGUGUCGUGAUACUGUCAAUUUCACUCUUUUUGUUUGAAAUUGGACUUGAAUGCUGUCGUGGAGUGCCUUACGACUCAUUCUAAAUGCAUUAGCGAUCUGCCUUUGAUCACACAAUGUGAUAAUCCAAAAGCAUUGUUUGUAUUCAAGUGGAGAUGGCUUCUAACUGUCGAAAGACAAAGUGAAUGUCAUUUGACCUCAAAUCAGGUAGGACUACCCGCUGAACUUAAGCAUAUCAAUAAGCGGAGGAAAAGAAACUAACAAGGAUUCCCUUAGUAACGGCGAGUGAAGAGGGAAAAGCUCAAAUUUGAAAUCUGGCGGUCUAUGGCCGUCCGAGUUGUAAUCUAGAGAAGUGUUUUCCGUGCUGGACCGUGUACAAGUCCUUUGGAACAAGGCGUCAUAGAGGGUGAGAAUCCCGUCUACGACACGGACUACCAGUGCUUUGUGAUACACUCUCAACGAGUCGAGUUGUUUGGGAAUGCAGCUCAAAAUGGGUGGUAAAUUCCAUCUAAAGCUAAAUACAGGCGAAAGACCGAUAGCGAACAAGUACCGUGAGGGAAAGAUGAAAAGCACUUUGGAAAGAGAGUUAAACAGUACGUGAAAUUGUUGAAA